UGCAGCAAAACCAAGAGUCACAAUUGCAUAAAAUCCAGGACCCGACGGCUUUGCAGCGAUAACCGCUCGUGAAAAUUUAAAUGACAAGUUUAACGAAUUUAGGUAGACUCGAGAGACAAAAAGGAAGAGAAAGAAAAUUUUUGAAAUGGCUUGAAUGGCAAACCUCGAAACGAUAAAUAUAAUAUAGGAAACGAAACAAAUGAAGAAACACUAAGAACCGCGAAGUAAAACGAAGAAAUCAGAAGAAUAACGAAACGAAAUGAAAAGUGAUUAGUAAAUCAUGACGGUGUAUUGACAUGGAAAUCACUUGCGAGGUUAAAAUACAUGUUAAAUUACGAUUAAGUUGAUAUCGUAUCGAAUCACCAAAGCCAUUUGAUGCCAACAGGCACUAACAGUUUCGAGGUGUCUAUAUCAACAAUAGUGCAAUGCAAGAAUAAAUGUUAUCAAGAACUGAAAGUCGAAUAUUCACAGUUUUAGGCUCAGCUGAGUCUACAUUGAAGCUAUCAUUACUCCCGAUAUUAUUUGAGCCUGGUGUUGUUCCGUCAAGAAGAAUUGUUUGAAGAAUUGUCAAGAAGAUUAAUAGCACGCUGCUAUUGCUAAUUCGAAUUCAUACAAAAGUUGUCAAACCUGCUAUCGAGCUGAAGGUCAGGGGCACGACCUUCGAGCGCCCAGUGACGAAGCUUGUGAAGAUACAAACAAGAAGUUGUUGAAACCUCAUAGAUGUUUCAAGGGGAGGGUGUUGGUGCAGCAAAACCAAGAGUCACAAUUGCAUAAAAUCCAGGACCCGACGGCUUUGCAGCGAUAACCGCUCGUGAAAAUUUAAAUGACAAGUUUAACGAAUUUAGGUAGACUCGAGAGACAAAAAGGAAGAGAAAGAAAAUUUUUGAAAUGGCUUGAAUGGCAAACCUCGAAACGAUAAAUAUAAUAUAGGAAACGAAACAAAUGAAGAAACACUAAGAACCGCGAAGUAAAACGAAGAAAUCAGAAGAAUAACGAAACGAAAUGAAAAGUGAUUAGUAAAUCAUGACGGUGUAUUGACAUGGAAAUCACUUGCGAGGUUAAAAUACAUGUUAAAUUACGA